rnacentral:rRNA from 1 species
AACGAACGCUGGCGGCAUGCCUAACACAUGCAAGUCGAACGAGAGCAUCGGGUCUAGUGGCGCACGGGUGCGUAACGGGUGGGAACCUGCCCAUAGGUUCGCAAUAACGCCCCGAAAGGGGUGCUAAUACGGGAGAAUGUCUUCGAUCCAAAGUUAUAUCGCGAUUGGGUGUGCCUGGGUUGGAUUCGCUAGCUGGUAGGGUAAAAGCCUAUCAAGGGGUCGAUCGAUAGCUGGUCUGAGAGGCUGAUCAGCGACACUGGGACUAAGGCACGGUCCAGACUCCUACGGGAGGCAGGAGUGGCUAAUCUUGGACAGCGGGCGAUAGCCUGAUCCACCACGGCUGCGUGAGUGCUGAAGGCCUUAGGGUUGUAAAGUUCUUUUACCCGGGAUGAUAUUGACGGUACCGGGAGAAUAAGCUCCGGCUAACUCCGUG